UUAACUACCUAGUUUUAACAGCUUUACUUUCGUGCUCGUUUUAAAGAGAUGUUCUAAGAACAGAAAAGAGCAAACAUUCCACACCCAGAUAUUUCUCUUUGACUCAUUGUGCAUGUAAGAAAUGGAUGAAGAAGAAUCUGGCAUAGAUCCAGGGAGUAGUUUGUAUACUCGUUGAGGAUCUCAGAGGAAGGACAAAGAGAAAAUAUUAAGCAGAGCUCUCAGUUGACCCUUGAUGGACGUGGAGAAUGGCUAAAAAGGAGAACUACAGAUUGGAUUUCCUGCUGUCAAAAUCUUUACCAGUGCCUGUUAUUUUCAGAGCACCUACAAAGGUGUUUGCUUCAUUUUGUUUGUAAAGUUCAUUUUGCUGACAAAGUUUCAGAAUAAAACCUGGAGUAAUUAAAA
rnacentral:lncRNA from 1 species